rnacentral:rRNA from 1 species
GUACCUACGGGAGGCUGCAGUAGGGAAUAUUGCACAAUGGGCGAAAGCCUGAUGCAGCAACGCCGCGUGUGCGAUGAAGGCCUUCGGGUUGUAAAGCACUUUUCGGGGAGAUGAGGAAGGACAGUAUCCCCGGAAUAAGUCUCGGCUAACUACGUGCCAGCAGCCGCGGUAACACGUAGGAGGCAAGCGUUAUCCGAAUUUACUGGGCGUAAAGCGCGUGCAGGCGGUUCGGUAAGUUGGAUGUGAAAUCUCCUGGCUCAACUGGGAGAGGUCGUUCAAUACUGUCGGACUAGAGGAUGGUAGAGGGAGGUGGAAUUCCCGGUGUAGUGGUGAAAUGCGUAGAUAUCGGGAGGAACACCAGUGGCGAAAGCGGCCUCCUGGACCAUUCCUGACGCUCAGACGCGAAAGCUAGGGGAGCGAACGGGAUUAGAUACCCCUGUAGUC